AUUGAACGCUGGCGGCAUGCCUUACACAUGCAAGUCGAACGGCAGCACGGGUGCUUGCACCUGGUGGCGAGUGGCGAACGGGUGAGUAAUACAUCGGAACAUGUCCUGUAGUGGGGGAUAGCCCGGCGAAAGCCGGAUUAAUACCGCAUACGAUCUACGGAUGAAAGCGGGGGACCUUCGGGCCUCGCGCUAUAGGGUUGGCCGAUGGCUGAUUAGCUAGUUGGUGGGGUAAAGGCCUACCAAGGCGACGAUCAGUAGCUGGUCUGAGAGGACGACCAGCCACACUGGGACUGAGACACGGCCCAGACUCCUACGGGAGGCAGCAGUGGGGAAUUUUGGACAAUGGGCGAAAGCCUGAUCCAGCAAUGCCGCGUGUGUGAAGAAGGCCUUCGGGUUGUAAAGCACUUUUGUCCGGAAAGAAAUCCUUGGCCCUAAUACGGUCGGGGGAGGACGGUACCGGAAGAAUAAACACCGGCUAACUACGU
rnacentral:rRNA from 1 species